rnacentral:rRNA from 1 species
ACGGAGGGUGCAAGCGUUAAUCGGAAUAACUGGGCGUAAAGCGCACGCAGGCGGUUAGAUAAGUCAGAUGUGAAAGCCCCCGGCUUAACCUUGGAGCGGCAGGUGAAACUGUGUGACUAGAAUGCUGUUGAGGGGGGCAGAAUUCCAGGUGUAGCGGUGGAAUGCGCAGAGAUCAGGAGGAAUACCGAAGGCGAAGGCAGCCCCCUGGACAAAGAUUGACGCUCAUCUGCGAAGGCGUGGGUAUCAAACAG